GAUGAAGCUACCUAGGGCGAUGCUGGAACAUUUCAAUAGGAUAUUGAACGAGUUUGUUUUUCCUUCUUUUAAACAAAACAAACAAAAAAGAAAAAACAGAGCUUUUGAGUUCUCUGUCAGUGUCACAGGGCAUUUUAGCAUCUCCACACAUCUGAGCUUUGGUUUCUCUCUGCCUCAGCUCCCUGCCUGUAAAAUAGAUUAACCACAUUUACUCAUCUCACAGGAGCAUUGUGAAAACGCAUCCAUAAAAGAUUGUCAGAUCUUCAUAUAUCAUUUAACAGGGAAAUAUUGGUACCUAAAAUAAACCUCUGAAAGCCUUCCUGUCCAGGGCAGAGAAAUACAAAGAGCAUUUUUCCAUGCUAGCAGCCAGCAAGUAAUUCUGAGGGUGAGUAAUUCUUCCCUUCAGAGACAAGCACCAGACACAUCCACCGAGCUGCAGAUCUCACUAAAAAUGUGCAGUUAUCAAAUGCCCUACCAAGUCUGGGGGCUCGUCGGCUGGUCUAGCUCAUUAAUCCACAAUGUGGCAAACAAGGGAUGAGAAAAUAGCAUGUUUGUUUAAUUGUUUUUUUCAUCCGGGCCCCUUUGAAGUCCGUCCUUUCCCGUUCACGGCAGUCUUUAAAGCAUUUGCGCCCCGGCAGGCACUGGGAGUGAAUCCCCCGAUAACGCAGUCCUGCGGCGCUGCCAAGUCUCACCGGUUCGGAUGUGCUCCUAACGCCGCCGCUCCGAAAGGUGCUGAAAGCUGCUUGGAGCUGCCGUUAACUCGCUCCUUUCACCUCCCUGCUCAAUUACUGUCAAACCGUGAGAUGAAGUUUUCAAGCCUGCUGUAUCUAAAACUCCGAAGAGAGAUUUUGGCAUGCAGAAGCCACGUCCCCAGCAUUGCGCUGCCCCACCAAGUCAGCAAAAGCAUCAGCCGGUCCGUGUACCACCCACUGGUUUAGUGUCGCUCCAUCGUCCCAUGGCUAUCAGGUAUCUCUCACACUCUGGUAUCAAAGAAAUGACCUUAUUUCACACUGUAGAAAGCCCUAUAAAAAAAAUAAAAAAUUAAAAAGUAUCUUAUUGCA
rnacentral:lncRNA from 1 species